rnacentral:lncRNA from 1 species
CAUGAGCGAGAACCCCCAAUUGCUUAGGGUUCACACUCUUUCCCGCUUGGUGGAUGAAAUCUUCUCUCCUUUUUGAAUUCUUUCUCCCACACACCCUUUUUGCCCUCUUUCGCCGAGGAGGAAAGAAUAAUCUUCCAAGCGGACAGAGACCUAAAUUUCCAUUAGAUUCAUUCCUAAGCUUGCUUUGUUGCAGCAAGAUGAUCAGUCCGAGAGUGCUGGAGAGAAGAGAAAGCGCCUGUUGCCA